GAAUAGCUCAGUUGGCUAGAGCGUGGCACUGAUAACACUGUGGUUGCAGGUUCGAUCCCCGCAAGGGACA